CGGCGGGCGACGUGAGGAGGCCGCCGCCGCCGCCAGGCUUGCGGGCAUUGGCGGCCGCGGGCUGCUGCUGCUGCUGCUGCUGCUGCUGCUGGGGCUUCAGCGACAUGGAUUCAUGGUGUAACGCUCUGCACGCUAUGGAAACCCAGCAACGGUGCCUUCCCACUGCCCUGAAGUGCCAGGCGUCUCCUCCUUUCACCUCUCCUGCCCUUCUCUUGAGGGAGUGAUACUGAUGACACUGAUAGAGUUAGCAUUCAAAAGUCUGGGAAGCAGGAAUGAGGAGGGAAAGUAGUGAGUUCAUCUCCUAUACAAAUACUUUAUGAUGAUCUGUGAUGUGAGGGAAGGCCCUGAAGUGGCACUUUGGGGCACAGUAUAUUAAUCAAGACUCUUUCAGUAACAGAAAAUCAAGAGAACCUGGAUUACGAGAAUAAAUAAAUAAGGGAAUGGAAUGUAUUGGCUUAUGUAACUGCAAAGUCCAGGAGUAGGUCUGACUUCAGGCAUAGCUGGAUCCAGAAGCUCAGACAAUGACAUGAGGGAUUGGCCCCUUUCUAUCUCUCUCCUCUGCAUUUUUCUGCAUUGAUUUUAUUCUCGGGUAGUCUCUUCCCACAUAGGAGAAAAGAUGGUCACCAGCAGCCCCAAAUGUAUUUGUUACCAGCAAAGAAGGAAUGUGUGGUAUGUAGAGAGCAGUAAGGUUAGAUAGAGAGUUGGAGACCCUAUCAAUGAGAAAUGCUUUAGGACUUCCCUGGCGGUCCAGUGGUUGGGACUUUGCCUUCCAAUGCAGGGGGUGCGGGUUCAAUCCCUGGUCAGAGAGCUAAGAUCCCACAUGUCUCGUGGCCAAAUAAACCAAAACAUAAAACAGAAGCAAUAUUAUAACAAAUUCAAUAAAGACUUUAAAAAUGGUCCACAUCAAAAAAAGAAAAAGAAAGAAAAAAAACAUAGAAAUGCUUUAGGGUGUAAGUAAUAGAACACUCUACUGAUGGGACUUAAAUGAUAAAGGUUUAUUUAUUGCAUAUAUUAGUUGUCUGGAGAUAAGUAAUUCCAAGCUUGGCUCUCCCUGCAUGCCAGGGGCCCAAGUUCUUUUUCUCUUUCUUCUCUGCCAUCCUUAGCAUUGUCAGCAGCAUUGUCCCUCUGGAUCACAAAGUAGCUGCUGUGACACCAAGCAUCAUAUCCUCACAAUGCCUAGAGGCAUUCUGAGAAGGAAGGAAGGAAAGAAGGAAGGAAGGGGCCAGGAGCAAAAACAGCUUUCUCAUUUUCGUGUUUUUCAUUUCAGGGGUUAAAACCUUUUCCAGAAAUCCCCAGCAGACUUCCUUCUCCAUCUCAUUGGACAAAAUAAAGUCACCUGACCAUCUCUGACCGAUCUCUUGCACAGGGGAAUAGGAUUGACAUGAUCAACUAUGACCAAUCAUGAUUCACCUCUUUGCUGAGAGAGCAGCACAGCUGUCCAGAUAUUCACCCUCUCUGAGUUUCUGGGCUGGUGAGUCCCAUCCCCAGUCUUGGGAGAGCACAGGCUCUGGACGCGCAGGCUCAGCGGCUAUGGCUCACGGGCCCAGCCGCUCCGCGGCGCGUCGGAUCUUCCCGGACCGGGGCACGAACCCGUGUCCCCUGCAUUGGCAGGCGGACUCUCAACCACUGCGCCACCAGGGAAGCCCGCUCUUUCUUUUUAAGUGAGGA